AAUUACGGAUAAUCGCUGCUUUAUUAUGAAGUAGAGGAAAGUCCAUGCUCGCACAGGCUGAGAUGCUUGUAGUGUUCGUGCUUUGCGAAACGAUAAGCAAAGGACUCUUAAUUCAAAGAGGACGGCAGUUAAAAAAGCUAAGGCUUUGCUAAGCUUGAGUAGACUAUAAAGUACCACAGAGACGAAGUAAACUUGCAAACGAGUUUAAUGGAACGCGGUAAACCCCUCGAGCGAGAAACCCAAACAUUUGGUAGGGGCACUUUUCAAUUGGAAAUGAACAAGAGAAAAGGUAAAUGAAAAAUCAUUUACAGACAGAUGAUUAUCACGAAGAAUAUGAUAUUCUUUACGACAAAACAUGGCUUACAGUA
rnacentral:RNase_P_RNA from 1 species